GGGGAAUUUUGGACAAUGGGCGAAAGCCUGAUCCAGCCAUGCCGCGUGAGUGAAGAAGGCCUUCGGGUUGUAAAGCUCUUUCGGCUGGGAAGAAAUCGCACAGGCUAAUACUCUGUGUGGAUGACGGUACCAGCACAAGAAGCACCGGCUAACCACGUGCCAGCAGCCGCGGUAAUACGUAGGGUGCGAGCGUUAUUCGGAAUUACUGGGCGUAAAGCGCGCGUAGGCCGCUUUGUAAGUCAGGGGUGAAAUCCCACGGCUCAACCGUGGAACUGCCCUUGAAACUGCGAAGCUUGAAUCCUGGAGAGGGUGGCGGAAUUCCUGGUGUAGGAGUGAAAUCCGUAGAUAUCAGGAGGAACACCGGUGGCGAAGGCGGCCACCUGGACAGGUAUUGACGCUGAGGUGCGAAAGUGUGGGGAGCAAAC
rnacentral:rRNA from 1 species